UGCUUCAGGAGGAGGAGCUAUUGAUGAACUGCCUCGUAUUGACAAGAAAGAGUUUGAUGAGGCAUUUGAAGUAUUCAGUGAUAAGGAUGGUCACAUAAUCAAAGAGAACCUUCCAUUAUUCCUCAAGUCAAUCGGUUUGGGUGGUCUAAAAAUAGAAGAAGCAAUAAAAAAACGUAAUGAACUGGACAAGAGUUACCUCCAGUCAAUAAUAGAUGAGACUUGUGAUCAGUUAACCUCCACUCAUGAGAACAGGGAGUGGCCCAGUCAUACUGAUGUACUGAGAGCGUUUGCUGUGUUUGAUCAGGAGGGGCAUGGUAGUAUACCAGUACAACGGUUGAAGAGGUUUCUGUUACAAGCACAGCUGGGGUUUCAAGAAGAAGAACUAGAGAAACUUGAUGAGAGACACUUGUAAGAUUGAUAAUGAUAACCAGAUCAGUUAUAAAG